rnacentral:rRNA from 1 species
GACGAACGCUAGCUACAGGCUUAACACAUGCAAGUCGAGGGGAAACGGCAUUGAGUGCUUGCACUCUUUGGACGUCGACCGGCGCACGGGUGAGUAACGCGUAUCCAACCUUCCCAUUACUGUGGGAUAACCUGCCGAAAGGCAGACUAAUACCGCAUAGUCUUCGAUGACGGCAUCAGAUUUGAAGUAAAGAUUUAUCGGUAAUGGAUGGGGAUGCGUCUGAUUAGCUUGUUGGCGGGGUAACGGCCCACCAAGGCUACGAUCAGUAGGGGUUCUGAGAGGAAGGUCCCCCACAUUGGAACUGAGACACGGUCCAAACUCCUACGGGAGGCAGCAGUGAGGAAUAUUGGUCAAUGGACGGAAGUCUGAACCAGCCAAGUAGCGUGCAGGAUGACGGCCCUAUGGGUUGUAAACUGCUUUUGUAUGGGGAUAAAGUUAGGGACGUGUCCCUAUUUGCAGGUACCAUACGAAUAAGGACCGGCUAAUUCCGUG